rnacentral:rRNA from 1 species
GAUGAACGCUGGCGGCGUGCCUAAUACAUGCAAGUCGAGCGAACAGAUGAGGAGCUUGCUCCUCUGACGUUAGCGGCGGACGGGUGAGUAACACGUGGAUAACCUACCUAUAAGACUGGGAUAACUUCGGGAAACCGGAGCUAAUACCGGAUAAUAUAUUGAACCGCAUGGUUCAAUAGUGAAAGACGGUUUUGCUGUCACUUAUAGAUGGAUCCGCGCCGCAUUAGGUAGUUGGUAAGGUAACGGCUUACCAAGGCAACGAUGCGUAGCCGAACUGAGAGGGUGGUCGGCCACACUGGAACUGAGACACGGUCCAUACUCCUACGGGACGCCGCAGUAGGGAAUCUUCCGCAAUGGGCGAAAGCCUGACGGAGCAACGCCGCGUGAGUGAUGACGGUCUUCGGAUCGUAAAACUCUGUUAUUAGGGAAGAACAAAUGUGUAAGUAAAUAUGCACGUCUUGACGGUACCUAAUCAGAAAGCCACGGCUAACUACGUG